rnacentral:rRNA from 1 species
CCUACGGGAGGCAGCAGUGAGGAAUAUUGGUCAAUGGGCGAGAGCCUGAACCAGCCAAGUCGCGUGAGGGAGUACUGCCCUAUGGGUUGUAAACCUCUUUUGUCGGGGAGCAAAAGCCGGACGUGUCCGGCUGUGAGAGUACCCGAAGAAAAAGCAUCGGCUAACUCCGUGCCAGCAGCCGCGGUAAUACGGAGGAUGCGAGCGUUAUCCGGAUUUAUUGGGUUUAAAGGGGGCGCAGGCGGAUUUUUACGUCAGCGGUAAAAUCGUGGGGCUCAACCCCAUCCAGCCGUUGAAACUGGGGAUCUAGAGUGUGCGAGAGGUAUGCGGAAUGCGUGGUGUAGCGGUGAAAUGCAUAGAUAUCACGCAGAACCCCGAUUGCGAAGGCAGCAUACCGGUGCACAACUGACGCUCAGGCACGAAAGCGUGUGUAUCGAACAGGAUUAGAUACCCUAGUAGUC